rnacentral:sRNA from 1 species
UGUUAGAUGGUCUUUGUUGUAAUGGGAAAGUAGAGAAGGCAUUGAUGAUAUUCGAAUACAUGCGGAAGAGAGAGAUGGAUA